rnacentral:rRNA from 1 species
AUUGAACGCUGGCGGCAGGCCUAACACAUGCAAGUCGAGCGAGCGGCGGACGGGUGAGUAAUGUCUGGGAAACUGCCUGAUGGAGGGGGAUAACUACUGGAAACGGUAGCUAAUACCGCAUACCAUCAGAUGUGCCCAGAUGGGAUUAGCUAGUAGGUGGGGUAACGGCUCACCUAGGCGACGAUCCCUAGCUGGUCUGAGAGGAUGACCAGCCACACUGGAACUGAGACACGGUCCAGACUCCUACGGGAGGCAGCAGUGGGGAAUAUUGCACAAUGGGCGCAAGCCUGACGCAGCCACGCCGCGUGUAUGAAGAAGGCCUUCGGGUCGUAAAGCACUGUCAGCAGGGAGGCGGUACCUGAAGAGGAAGCACCGGCUAACUCCGUGCCAGCAGCCGCGGUAAUAC